GUGGGGAAUAUUGCGCAAUGGGCGGAAGCCUGACGCAGCGACGCCGCGUGGGGGAUGACGGCCUUCGGGUUGUAAACCUCUUUCGCCAUCGACGAAGUUCUGGGUUUUUGCCUGGGGUGACGGUAGGUGGAGAAGAAGCACCGGCCAACUACGUGCCAGCAGCCGCGGUAACACGUAGGGUGCGAGCGUUGUCCGGAAUUAUUGGGCGUAAAGAGCUCGUAGGCGGUGUGUCGCGUCGGCCGUGAAAACUUUCAGCUUAACUGGGAGCGUGCGGUCGAUACGGGCAUCACUUGAGUUCGGCAGGGGAGACUGGAAUUCCUGGUGUAGCGGUGAAAUGCGCAGAUAUCAGGAGGAACACCGGUGGCGAAGGCGGGUCUCUGGGCCGAUACUGACGCUGAGGAGCGAAAGCGUGGGGAGCGAACAGGAUUAGAUACCCUGGUAGUCCACGCUGUAAACGUUGGGCGCUAGGUGUGGGGGCCAUUCCACGGUCUCUGUGCCGCAGCUAACGCAUUAAGCGCCCCGCCUGGGGAGUACGGCCGCAAGGC
rnacentral:rRNA from 1 species